UACCCAGACUCCUACGGGAGGCAGCAGUGAGGAAUAUUGGUCAAUGGGCGGAAGCCUGAACCAGCCAAGUCGCGUGAGGGAUUAAGGCCCUAUGGGUCGUAAACCUCUUUUGUCAGGGAGCAAGGUCGUCCACGUGUGGGCGUAUGGAGAGUACCUGAAGAAAAAGCAUCGGCUAACUCCGUGCCAGCAGCCGCGGUAAUACGGAGGAUGCGAGCGUUAUCCGGAUUUAUUGGGUUUAAAGGGUGCGUAGGCGGGACCUUAAGUCAGCGGUAAAAUUGCGGUGCUCAACGCCGUAGAGCCGUUGAAACUGGGGCUCUUGAGUGAGCGAGAAGUAUGCGGAAUGCGCGGUGUAGCGGUGAAAUGCAUAGAUAUCGCGCAGAACUCCGAUUGCGAAGGCAGCGUACCGGCGCCAGACUGACGCUGAGGCACGAAAGCGUGGGGAUCGAACAGGAUUAGAUACCCGCGUA
rnacentral:rRNA from 1 species